UACGGAGGGUGCAAGCGUUAUCCGGAUUCACUGGGUUUAAAGGGUGCGUAGGUGGGCUGGUAAGUCCGUGGUGAAAUCUCCAAGCUUAACUUGGAAACUGCCGUGGAUACUAUUAGUCUUGAAUCUCGUGGAGGUAAGCGGAAUAUGUCAUGUAGCGGUGAAAUGCUUAGAUAUGACAUAGAACACCGAUAGCGAAGGCAGCUUGCUACACGAGUAUUGACACUGAGGCACGAAAAGCGUGGGGAUCAAACAGG
rnacentral:rRNA from 1 species